rnacentral:rRNA from 1 species
UGGGGAAUAUUGGACAAUGGGCGAAAGCCUGAUCCAGCAAUGCCGCGUGAGUGAUGAAGGCCUUAGGGUUGUAAAGCUCUUUUACCCGGGAUGAUAAUGACAGUACCGGGAGAAUAAGCUCCGGCUAACUCCGUGCCAGCAGCCGCGGUAAUACGGAGGGAGCUAGCGUUGUUCGGAAUUACUGGGCGUAAAGCGCACGUAGGCGGCUUUGUAAGUUAGAGGUGAAAGCCCGGAGCUCAACUCCAGAAUUGCCUUUAAGACUGCAUCGCUUGAAUCCUGGAGAGGUGAGUGGAAUUCCGAGUGUAGAGGUGAAAUUCGUAGAUAUUGGGAAGAACACCGGUGGCGAAGGCGGCGACCUGGUCCGAUACUGACGCUGAGGCGCGAAAGCGUGGGGAGCAAAC